AUUGGGGUUUGCACAUUUUCCUUAACAGCAUUGAGCUGACUUGUGUUUUGUUGUAAGUAUAGCUUCUGCUGCCUAUGUACUGGUCAUCCACUGAGCGAAUAUUUUUAUAUGUCUCACUGGGGAGGGUAGAAGCUGUAUAAGUUUAAAUGCAGUGGUGCCCUCAGCCUUACCAAUCUGAAUGGCAAUGUUUCCUGCAGUCCUGCUUUCCCUGGUAAGCUACGGAAGCUCCUUGUCUCUCCACGCCACCUGCUUUCCUGAAAUGCCCCUGGUCUCAGCUCCGCAGGCUGGCUUUAGAGAUGGCAGUAAAACCCCACGUGUGCUGAGAUUCAGUGAACUAGUCAUUCCUUUCUGCUAGUCAUCAUUUAAUCAUCAUUCUGCAAAGUGGCAUGUUUUGAGGUCCACUUAGCCCAGGCCAAGCCCUUUUCCAAAUGUCCCUCAGAAACCCACAAGGAAGUGCAGUACACAGAAAAACGCCGAGGAUUUGAAUAAAAUCCCCUUGCUGAAGCUCUUUUUCACACGUUCAACACCAGGGUGUGCUCAGCAGGGACUGUGACCCUUACAAAUCUUUAUUGGUGAAUACAAAGCGUGUACACAAGCAGUGCUAGAUCUUCACCAGCGCAGUACCUACGGCUCAGCAGGUGCCAAAAGGCAGUCCUCACCCAGCUGGCAGGGGACUGCUGCUCUCUUCCCUGCUGGGAACACCGUAGCAGCUAUUGAUUUUCACAUGGAUUUUUCUUCGUUACAAAGACACACCAGCCUUUGUUCCUUCCCCAACUAUUCGCUGCAGGCCUUUCCUCUGCCUACUGGGGCAGAUUUGGCUGCAGAAACACGUUCUUGCUUUCACCUUUGGGAAUCGCGAAGGGAACUUCUCCCUGGGGACGUCCAGCCACCAACCACCUGGCCGCACAGUAGCUGCUCAUCAGCCUCAGGGUUGCCUGAGAGCCUUUUUUCUCUGUAGUUUUGUGUUGUUUACUCAUUUCUGCGACUUCAAAGGUGUCUUUAGGGAGGACAAACUCCUCUACCACACUUUCCCUCAGACAAGGGAUUCACAGGGGACGGGCACGGCGGCAGGGGCGCGGCGCCGCCAUUUGCAGCCUCCCCGCGGAACGCCGCGACCGCGGCCGCGUUGCGCCGCCGGAGGGAGCGGCUGUGGCGGCCCGGAACCGCCGGGCACCGAGGGGAGGAGGGAGGAAAACGCUGCCGGGGCCCAUGGAGCGGCUCCGGCGGCUGUGGAGGGGCCGCACCAUGACCUACGGCGUCCCCCUCUUGGUUCUGCAUGGUGUAAAACUGUAUGCGUGCGGGAGAGAGCAAUCUAACCUGGCAUGGAAUAUCUUAACAGCUUGAGCGCUGCAGGACAAGGAUCUUUUGUACUCUAAGCUGCAAAAGGAAUGUACAGAUCCAGUUCCAGUUCUGCUGUCAACAUGUUACAAGGGAAAAAAUAAAUGCAGAGGAUCUAAAGCAGCAUCUUGGCAGACAGGAAACAUGGUCUGUGCCUCACUUGGUGAUUUUCAUUGCACACCUAACAUAAGUGUAAUGCUCUAUGUAUGCAGGUUCACAGGUUUUAAACAUUUAGCAUGUAGUGACAUUCUUCAUAUCUAUAGCUGUGGAUUUUGACAUCUUUUCAUUCUUUUGUUUUUUUUUUCCUUCUCUUUCUCUCUUUUUAAUUUCCUCAUUCUGUAAUGACCAUGCUUUUACAAGUACUUUCCUUGUGUAUCUCCUCUUUCCAGAUCUUGUUUUUGGUGUGCAUAGUGUUGCCAGAAGAGAAGAUGAAGGUAGCCUGGAACAGUGAAAGUUUUUCUCUGUGAAUAAACGUGUUCCUAAAAUAUAUCUCCAUCAGUGUGUCUGCCCACAGACUGUACUACAUUGCCAUCUACAUUGCUGCCUCGAACAGUGCAAGUUUACUUUGAUAAGCACUUUGUUAAGAGACAGCGAGAGUGCCUGUCAUGUACAGGAGGAGAAGAAAGGUCAGAGAGAGAGCUGCUACCAGAGCUGCAGCCGCGCGGUCAGCGCUCCCAGGCACCAUUAGAGAAUGUCAGAGGUGUCUCAGGCCUUGUUAAUGAACCCAUUUUCUCUCAACUUUAUUGACCUCCUCUGGCAAAGAAAAGAAAAUUAAAAAAAAAAGGAGAGGUUAUCAGGAUAUGAAUUCAUAUGUAUGCGGAUUAGUUUUGUUUGCUGGUGAAGUCGGGGUCAUCUAGAAGCUAAGACUGAUGCUCAGAAAUAUUUUGUAAAUUCUGGGAAGUGCCACCUUGUGCUGUGACUCACCAAUAUUGGAAGUUGUACUGGGCUAAUGGGUAGGGA
rnacentral:lncRNA from 1 species